GCCGGUGUAGCUCAGUUGGUAGAGCAACUGAUUCGUAAUCAGUAGGUCGGAGGUUCGACUCCUCUCACCGGCACCA
rnacentral:tRNA from 2 species